UAGCAAACCAUCUUAAAGUUUCUUACUAAUAUUAAAAACUUUUAAAUCUUUAUCUAGUUUAACUGCAAGGAGGUCCACAAAAAAUCAAAACAAGCUUUUGGAGACAAUUUGAAUUAUUAGUGCUUUAAACAUAGAGAGUUUUAGAGGUUGAGAUCAGUGAGGUCAAAGGAUUUCCUCAAAUGCUGGUGAAAGUUCCAGUUCGCUUUGUCGAUUGCUCUUACAACAACUGACCAGUUCUUCUCGGCAAGUGAUGGUAACGAUGGAUAAUGAGUCUGACAGGCUAAGCGAAUAGCAUUGAUCUUCUCAGUUGAUAUCUGUCACUUUAUAGAAGCUUUCCCUUGAAACACUUUCCCUUUUACAUUUUUGUUCAUUACAUCUUCUACGGAGCAAAUAUUCCUGAAGAGGUUGACGGCAAAUCGUCUACUAGAAUCACCUGCGGAUAUUUUGGCAUCUUGCAGAUGGUUGUCAGGGAUCUGGUUGUAUGGUGAUAUCGUAGGUGCUGGUUGAAACAAGUGCAAGUUGGUUUUUAC
rnacentral:lncRNA from 1 species